AGUGAACGCUGGCGGCAGGCCUAAUACAUGCAAGUCGAACGGCAGCACAGUGGAGCUUGCUCCAUGGGUGGCGAGUGGCGGACGGGUGAGGAAUGCAUGGGAAUCUGCCCAGUCGUGGGGGAUAACGUAGGGAAACUUACGCUAAUACCGCAUGCGCCCUUCGGGGGAAAGCCGGGGACCUUCGGGCCUGGCGCGAUUGGAUGAGCCCAUGUUCGAUUAGCUAGUUGGCGGGGUAAAGGCCCACCAAGGCGACGAUCGAUAGCUGGUCUGAGAGGAUGAUCAGCCACACUGGGACUGAGACACGGCCCAGACUCCUACGGGAGGCAGCAGUAGGGAAUAUUGGACAAUGGGCGCAAGCCUGAUCCAGCCAUGCCGCGUGAGUGAAGAAGGCCCUCGGGUUGUAAAGCUCUUUUGUCCGGGAAGAAAAGCAUCGGGCUAAUACCUCGGUGUUCUGACGGUACCGGAAGAAUAAGCACCGGCUAACUUCGUG
rnacentral:rRNA from 1 species